UGCAGCGUAGCUCAGUGGUCAGAGCGCGGCCCUCAUAAGGCCGAGGUCGUCGGUUCAAGUCCGACCGCUGCAACCA
rnacentral:tRNA from 1 species